UAUUAUUAUUAUUAUUACUCAUGUUAAACUAAACUAAAUUUUUUUUUAAUUCUGUCUUUUUCUCUCUUUUUAUUUUAUUUUUUUGUUUAUCUGUGAAAUAUUGUGAGAAAAAAGUUGGUUGCACAUGUACAUAGAAGGCUAGAUGCAAUUUAUUUUAUAUUUUCAGCCACAGGUACAUUUUUUUUAUACUUUUAAAUACUUUUUUUUAAAAGUAAAAAAAAAAAGCCUACUAUGAGGAAUACUCUCCUUUAAUGUCUAUGAAGUGGCCUAAUAUGUAUUUAUAAUGCUUAAAUGUUGAACAAUAUGGUUUGGUUUCAGAAAAGUAUUUAUGUUUUUGAUUAAUUUGGCCUCAACCUUUCGUCAAUCUUUAAAUUUAAGAAUUCUUAUUCACUCUUUGUCAAGCUGGACAAUAACAAACAGGGUUUUUCCCUCAAAGAAGUUAGAAAGUAAAAAGUUAUUUUAACUUGUUCAUACAUUUUUGUUUGUUUGUUUGUGUUUGUUUGUUUGUGUUUGUUUGUUUUACCCGAUGCUUUGAGUUUUCACUCACUGUCCUCUGCUUUGGGCUGAAAUGCCUCACUGCUAAUUAACAUGCCUGUGGUUGGAGCAGAAGAAGAAGAAGAAGAAGAAGAAGAAGAAGAAGAAGAAGAAGAAGAACUCCCGCCAGCUCCAGACCUCUGACCCCUGACCUCUGACCCUCUGACCCUUCUCUGAUGAAGCUGGAGCAGUGUGCAGUGACUCGGAUCCGCCGGCAGGAGGCGCGCUGCCACUUUCACCCCACAUAUCAAAGCUGGUGUGUGUUGGACAGGAUGACUCACGCGGUGUGUUGAUCCGCACUCUGUUUGUGAGAGUGGGCGUUCACACCUCCUGUUCCUGUUUGACCUCACACACACUCUGCAGAGGAGCAGCUGUGACCAUGGAGACCAAAGUGUGAAACAAACCUGCCCUCCUCUGUGUCUGAUACAUGUUUGACAUAUGAGGUCUGUCGCUCUGGAGCAGGAGCUUUAGUAUUGAUUUAUAUAAAGCACAUAAAUUAAGUCAUUAAUAUUGAGACUACAAUAUUUUGGCAGUUUGUAGGCAGCACGAUUUUUUAAUUUCGCAUAUUGGUAGGAAAUGAUGCAAUAUAACAAAACCUAUAGUUAUGGGCUAUUUUUAUUUAUUCAGCCUAUUUUUAUCAAGUAUUUGGGAUGAUGUAGAAGCUUUAGCGAACAAUGGUUAUGUUUUAUUUAUAUUCUAUUUAAUUCUUAUUUGUUUUGUUUUUUAUAUUUUAUAAUUUAUGACAUGUUUUUAUUAUUUUUCCAGUCGUGUGUAACUCAGUAACUUGUAACUUUUUAU